AGGUUAUAAACCAGUAAGACGUCUUUCUAGCGUAUUCCACGAGAAUGAUCAAUUAUGAAAUGCGAAAAAACCAAGCAAAACGAAAUCAAAUUCUCAACUGGCAUUCCACUGCUCGAUCACUACUGAAAGAAGCAAAUUAUGCUCAAGGUUCGUUCCAGUUCUCAUAGAGACAGGUUUGCUAAGGGGACUCGUGUCUCCGUUUAAUGACCGAGG
rnacentral:misc_RNA from 1 species